rnacentral:rRNA from 1 species
UACGGGGGGGGCAAGCGUUGUUCGGAAUUACUGGGCGUAAAGGGCGCGUAGGCGGUUCGCUAAGUUGAAUGUGAAAACUCUGGGCUUAACCCAGAGCCUGCAUCCAAAACUGGCGAACUGGAGUACUGGAGGGGAAAGCGGAAUUCCUGGUGUAGCGGUGAAAUGCGUAGAUAUCAGGAGGAACACCGGUGGCGAAGGCGGCGAUCUGGGAAGAUACUGACGCUGAGGUGCGAAAGCGUGGGGAGCAAACAGG